rnacentral:rRNA from 1 species
CCUGGUUAUCAAAAACAUGGCCUUUUGAUAAUUAUUUAAGGUCUAACCUGCCCGCUGAGGAUUUGAAUGGCCGCGGUAUUUUGACCGUGCAAAGGUAGCAUAAUAAUUAGUUUCUUGAUUGGAAGCUGGAAUGAAUGGUUGAAUGAGGGAAUUACUGUCUCUUUUUAAAUUUUUAAAAUUUUAUUUUUAAGUUAAAAAGCUUAAAUACAUUUAAAAGACGAGAAGACCCUAUAGAGUUUUACAUUAGAAUUAGGUUUUUAAUUUUUUAGGAUUUUUAAUUUUAAUUUUUUCUUGUGUUUGGUUGGGGCGAUUGAAAAAUUAAAUAAACUUUUUCACUAUUUUUUCACUUUAGGUGAGUUCUUGAUCCAUAUGAAUGAUUAUUAGAUUAAAUUACCUUAGGGAUAACAGCGUAA